AGACUGAUAGCAGGAUCAUCCUGCAGCCUGCUUGACCUCAUUCACCUUGAGGAAAACCAGUCUGUGCUCAGAUCAGCUAACAGCAGCCCAACACAUACCACCACCUCUAUAAGCCUGGACCAGCCUAGAGACCCAGACAGUGGGUCUAUCGACAGCUCACACACAGGACUGAAUGCUCACAGUCCAGACAGGGCAGAAGUAGUGGCCUGUAGGGAGGGCAGAGCGAGGGAAAUCUCUCCCAUAAAUAUGAACUGUUUGGACCUGAUGUGGGACGCUGUACUGGUCAACGGCCAUGUAGGAGGCGGAAGGAAGGUGGAUACAGGGCUCAACGUGGAACUGUCCCCCUCUCACAGAGCUGCGACUGGGACGGAGGAGGCCAUGCUUCAGGAGAGCUCUACAGAUGAGAAGAAGAUGGAGAGAGGGAGUGAGGUGAGGGUGCAGGACUCCACUGAACAGAAGCUGUAUAAGAUUGCCAACGAGCUUCUACUCACAGAGAGAGCCUAUGUUGCUCGCCUUCACCUACUAGACCAGGUGUUCUGUGCUCGGCUGACUGAGGAGGCCGGUAAAGGCUUGUUCCCUGUAGAUGUGGUGAGGACCAUCUUCUCCAACAUCUCCUCCAUCCACACCUUCCACUGCCAGUUCCUACUGCCAGACCUGGAGACGCACAUGGGCCAAUGGUCUGUGAGCCCUCGUCUGGGUGAUGUCAUGCAGCAGCAUGCUCCCUUCCUCAGGAUGUAUGCUGAGUACGUGAUGAGCUUCGAUCAAGCCAUGGAGCUGCUUAGAAUCUGGACGGAGAGGUCCGCACCAUUCAGGAACGUCAUACAGGAUAUACAGAGUCAGGAGGUGUGUGGUAGUCUGACCCUGCAGCACCACAUGUUGGAGCCGGUCCAGAGACUACCUCGUUAUGAGAUGCUGCUGAGAGACUACCUCAAGAGACUGCCUAAUGACGACUCGGACCACAGCCAUGCAGAGAAGUCUCUGCAGGACAUCUCCAUGGCAGCAACACACUCCAACAGCGCCAUCCGCCAAUCAGAGAACCUGAAGAAGGUGCUGGAGAUCUACGAGAUGUUGGGGGAGGAGGACGUGAUGAAUCCCUCCAAUGAGUUCAUCCGGGAGGGACGCAUCCUGAUGCUGGCUGCCAGGAACUCCGCCAUGGAGAGACACCUCUUCCUGUUCAACAACAUGCUGCUGUGCUGCGCUCCUCGGUUCAGCCUGGCGGGGCAUCGGUUCACCGUGCGGGCACGGAUUGACGUGGAGGGCAUGACGGUGCAGCGCACCACCAACGAACACCACUCCCACACCUUCCAGGUGUCUGGCAAGGAGAGGACCCUGGAGAGGACCCUGGACCUACAGGCCAGCUCUGAACAAGACAAAGAGGACUGGAUAAAGGCUUUCCAGGACACUAUUGAUGUUUUCCUGCAGAAGAAUGAGACUUUUGUGUCAGCUUCUAAAGAAGUAGAGAUGGAGGAGCUGGGUCGGCGUGCCCCUCGAUGGAUCAGGGACAAUGAGGUGACCAUGUGUAUGAAGUGUAGCGAACCCUUCAACGCCCUCACCCGAUGGAGACACCACUGCAGAGCCUGUGGCUGUGUGGUGUGUUGGAGGUGUUCAGACAACAAAGUAACUCUGGAGUACGAUGGCAACAAGGUGAACAAGGUGUGUCUAGACUGCCACGCCGCCCUGACCCUCCGGGCCAACAGAGAGGAGAGGGGAGAGGGCAUGGAGGGGGGUCAUUCUAGAGGUUCCACACCCCACCUUCCCAUUUCCAUCCCUACCCUUUCCCCAGGAUGUGAAGGCCUUGUCUAGGGUCCCCUUGCAGGGGACAGGUGACUGGUGUUGUCAAUGAAAAUGGGAUGGUGGUUAAUGACAACGCCAUGGUUGGCAAUGGCAAGGGGACGGUCAUCAAUGGCAACGAAAGUGUCACUGAUAAUGGUUACGGGAGUGUCGCCAAUAGAAACGGGAUGGUUGUCAAUGACAGCGAGGACGCACGCUCAAACAGCCUCAGUGUUCAAACACACACAGUCUCUGCACUUGUGUUCAGUGUUAAGGCCUUAAUGAGAUGCAGUGAGCUCCAAAAGUAUUGGGAUAGUGACAUAUCUGAAAUGAUACAAUGACUGAGGUUAAAGUGCAGACUAUCUGCUUUAAUAAAAGGGUAUUUUCAUCCAUAUCGGGUGACCUGUUUAUAAAUUACAGCACGUUUUGUACAUAGUCCCCCCAUGUUAGGGGACCCAUCUAUUGGGACAAAUUCACUUAUAUGGAUAUUAGAGUAGUACAAAGCAUUUGGUCCCAUAUUCCUAGCAUGCAAUGAUUACAUCAAGCUUGUGACUCUACAAACUUGUUGGAUGCAUUUGCUGUUUGUUUUGGUUGUGUUUCAGAUUAUUUGGUGCCCAAUAGAAAUGUAUGGUAAAUAAUAUAUUGUGUCAUUUUGGAGUCACUUUUAUUGUAAAUAAGAAUAUGUUUCUAAACACUUCUACAUUAAUGUGGAUGCUACCAUGAUUCCGGAACUUUUACUACUUUAAUACACAUAAGUUAAUUUUUUCCCAAUUCUUUUGGUCCCCUAAAAUGGGGAGGACUAUGUACAAAAGGUACUGCAAUUUCUAAAUGUUGGAUGAAAAUACGAUCAAAGUUGACAGUCUACACUUUAACCCCACCGUCAUUGUAUAAUUUGAAAUCUAAAGCGCUAGAGUACAGAGCCCAAAUAAACAAAAAUGUCACUGUCCUAAUAUUUUUGGCGCUCUCUGUAUACCGUAAUGGGUUGGCAAUGAGAUGAAUUUGUGUAAAAACUCGAGAGAAGCAAUGUGUUCUGCCUAUCCCUAUCUGAAUAAGAAAAUUAAUUAACCUUAUAGUUUGUAUUAGAAAUGAUUUACCUUUUGAAAAAAUAAAGUUAAACUUGUUUAAAAGAGAAGCAAGGUGUUCAUUUGAACUAGAAAAUAAAAGUUUGAAACUUAUCAGCUAAGUUUCUUAUGCUAGCAGUAUGUGUCAUUAAAGAGAUUCUCCUAUACUUUUGUAUACUUUUUCCCCUGUAGUUCAGAAAGUAGCACUCACAACCCAACAAAGGUCCCCGAAAAGUGCGUACUACAUGCAGAUAUGUGGACCACGUCAUUGCUCUCUCGAUUAAUCCCACCUGUGUAGGUGUGUUUUGCAUCAGCUGGAAGUUGAUUGCCUUCGAUUUGGAACCGGGCUGCCUCCUGGGUUUGAACCAGGUGCCCCUUUCAAAGUCCACUGCCAAGAUCUUUCUUCUAAACAAAACUGACAUAAUUAAACAUGCGUAUGUAAUUACUAGGAUUCUGUCUUUUCCCAUGCAAAAGGGAUUUCUUUUGAUAAAAAAUACUUUUAUCUGUCUUCCCAAUGAGACAUUUUUUGAAAAUUCUAACAUUUUACUUUAUGGAAAAGAGAGAUUUUUCUGGAAGAUGCACCAUGCUGCCUUGUUGACAAAAUGACAGAGCGGCGCAGAUUACUGUUCCAUUUGAGAAGGGCGCUCCUCUCUCCCCGCUUUCGCCCAAUGAUUUAAGGAUCCAUAGACCGGUGCCCCGCCGGCUUAUAAUAAUAGGCUGCAACCUUUCUCUGCUGUGGCCACUGAGCCGUUGGGUCCGCCCUGCAACAUCAUUGGAUAACGCUGGGCAGGCCUCUUGCUAGCUCUCGCUCAGAUACGAGUGGCUGAAGCUCAUUGGCUAGAACUUGAAUUGCCAGGUGGCUGGCCCACGUGGGGGGAAAUGUAGGGAAGUGGUGCAGCACAGCUUCAAGAAAAGUCACUUCAAUCUAGGGAUUUCGUGGCUAAUUGAUGUAAAAAAGUAAUUAUUCUCAUAGAUUAUGCAUGUAUGAACACAUUCAGCCCAAAGUGGGAGGUUUAAAAAAUACUUUCACCAAAGUACAGGAGCAUGUCUUUAAGUAAAUAUAUUCCUUUGGAGAAGUUCUACACGUUUUAUGGAGAUGGAGACCUUCCACUAUAUACACUACAUGACCAAAAGUAUGUGGACACCUGCUUGUUGAACAUCUCAUUCCGAAUCAUGGGCGUUUAAUAUGGAGUUGGUCCCCCCUUUGCUGCUAUAACAGCCUGCACUCUUCUGGGAAGGCUUUCCACUAGAUGUUGGAACAUUUCUGCGAGUACUUGUUUCCAUUCAGCUACACAAGCAUUAGUUUGGUCGGGCACUGACGUUGGGCGAUAAGACCUGGCUCGCAGUCAGCGUUCCAAUAUAUCCCAAAGGUGUUCAAUGGGGUUGAGGUCAGGGCUCUGUGCAGGCCAGUCAAGUUCUUCCACACCGAUCUCGACAAACCAUUCCUGUAUAUACCUCGCUUUGUGCACAGGGGCAUUGUCAUGCUGAAAAAAACAUGUUACAUUUCUCCUGCAGUGCCUAACUACAUUUUGUAUGUGUGUAGAUAAGUGGACAGAAUGCAGUCUCCGCUAACGGGAGAAUGUUGCUUUUCAAUCACGCUGUAACGCUGAACUUCUGCGACACGGAUUGAAUAGAGCCCCAAAAGAUUUUGAGAAUGUCUGACCAUAAUUGCAGCCAUGAGUGCCAUACUGAAAGCCAGUGAGGAGGAGGUGGAGGAGCUGAAGAGAGAGAAUGCAGUUUGAAGUCAUUUGGCCAACUACUGUUUCUCAUGUGUUGAUCAAAAUUGUAAUUUUUUAUAGGCAGUUUAUUUUAUGCCUAUUUCUCAUGUGUUUCCUUUCAUAUUAUUUUAGCCCUGGAGGCCAUCGUGACAUCCAGUGAGUAGCAACACAGCUUUGGAAGCCAGGCCGAGUGUCAGUGAGAGGGGGGGGUGGAGCUGAAGAGAGAGAACGCAGGUAAAAGCGAUACAGAAAAGGAGUGU